UACGUAGGGGGCAAGCGUUAUCCGGAUUUACUGGGUGUAAAGGGAGCGUAGACGGCAGAGCAAGUCUGAAGUGAAAGCCCGCGGCCCAACUGCGGGACUGCUUUGGAAACUGCCCGGCUAGAGUGCUGGAGAGGUAAGCGGAAUUCCUAGUGUAGCGGUGAAAUGCGUAGAUAUUAGGAGGAACACCAGUGGCGAAGGCGGCUUACUGGACAGUAACUGACGCUGAGGCUCGAAAGCGUGGGGAGCAAACAGG
rnacentral:rRNA from 1 species